CUGUGGUGCAACAGACCUCAAAACUUCCUUGUCCUGUCUAUCAGAGACCUUGCUCCCAAUUACCAACAAUCUGUCCCAGCCUCUGAGAGAAGAGACUGGAAGGAAAGGGGCAGGAGAUAAGGAACCUGUAAGGACAGCGACUCUUAUCUUGAUGAUCUUCUGUAGCAAGGAGGAUGCCCACUAGACUAGAAGACAUCUUGGAUAUUUGUCAAAUAGAGGGCCUGGGAAUACAAUCACCUAUGAAGGCUGGGCCUGGUUCUCCCGGACUAUGGAGAACUAUUACAAAGAUGAGUUCCCACCGAGCCGGCAAAUCUUGCAUCUCUGGCAACCGGGCGAUGCUCAAGCUGAGAGAUAUCAUCAGGAGUUCACACGUUUGCAAUAGCCUUUGUCUGGUUACCAUUUAAAUCUCUAGUUUCUUUCCAAUGCCAGUGGGUCAGACUGCCCUGGUGAACAAUGACAGUUAGGUCUAGGAACGCUCUUCCCUCUCCUAACUCUCCCCAGUUAUACACUUUGUCUCUCCCUGUCAAGUUACUUAAGCUGAAACACAGUCUUUUGUGGGACACGGUGCCUUCUAAAAUGAGCCUCGGUCAUUGGCUCCUCCUGGCUUCCUCCAUGCUCUGAUGGAAAAGCUUUUAAGCUUAGUUCCCAGUGUUUUCUUCUCCUCCUGGAAACUUUCAUCGUUGAAUUGGGAAAAGAUUCAGAAGCAAGCGAUGGUGGAACCUUAUGCAAAGAGGGAAAUGUAAAAGGUGAAGGUGAGGAGGAUAACUCUGAGAGUGAAAACUGACCUAUGCAGUAUUAACUCAGCUGUGUGUCUCAUUCACUCAGACACCUUUGGCACUUUCAUUAAGUGAGGGAAAAAAAAAAGUCAGGGUCAGCAUUUUUGUUCAUCCUGUCCGGACUUUCCUGGCCUAGACAUAUUUCCAUUAUCAGCCUUUCAGGCUGUCAGAAAAUCCCUAGAACAUUUACAUUUUAGGAUGCCUUCCCUUUUCUUUUAAAUGUAAUGUCCAAAAUAGUGCUGUCAGACUGUGAGAAUUUCUGUCGGAAUGCAAAUGCAUCACGGGGAAGAAGGUACCAGCCUGUAUCAGAUUGCAUCAACUGAUUUACAGGGUUCCAAGAGGAAGGGAUGAAGGAAAAGUCACCUCUGAGGGACAUUUGAGGACCCUUUGAUAAUGUAGUCAUGUUAUGGCUGGCCAUUUAAGAAAGAUGGGAACAAAUACAGGUCAUAUUUAGUAGGAGAAAGAAGGGAAGGAGGAUACCCCCAAGGAGCUGACUUACACAUCUUGGUGAAAGGAUGUUUUAUUGGUGGGUAGAUAUGUGAAUAGAUAGGUACCUUAAAUAACUGAGCAUUUCUGAACAUGAAAAUGGAGACUUAAAAAUGCCGACAUAGUUUGUUAAAUUGAUUCUGUUUUUAUUGUAAGUUACGAAUGGGCAGAGAGGGCCCGUUUGCCUUUUGGCCCAGUGAAUUGUGUGUAAACUGACCCGCAGAGACACAAAGGGUGACUGCUCUAUGGCCCUGGCUGAUAAAUUGAGAGAUCAAAGUCUGCUUUUCCAUUCACACUUGAAAACCCCAUUAGUGAGUACAGAGAACUUUACAGUUUGUAAAUGUUAAGUUCACUUAUAUGAAGCAGUCAUAACAUUUAGCUAUUAUUUAUAAAACUGCUAAUGGGAUAAGACACAUCUGACAAUGCCCGUGGUUGGCUGCCAUUUUAACCCAAAAACGACAGGGUUUCCACCAUUUUUAUUGUUACAGUUGAUCUGCAAAGACAAAAGGGAGGUGAAAUGAAAGAUCCAUUUUCACAUGUGGCUCUCUGGUUUGGUGGGGAAGAGUGUUGAAAGUCUCGGCUAAGGUACAAUUUGGAGUGAGGUUCAAUGUGGCAAUGCCUUCCUACCCCUUGAUGGCAGCGAUGGUGGUUUUGGUGGCAGAUUAGCUGAUGGAUAUUGGCCUACGGACAGAGUGACUGCUGCACAAGUGAGUGUGGCACUAGGAAAUACUGAACAGGUAGAGAAAGAGAAGAAAUGUCCUUCGAUGGCAGGACUGACAGAGUCUCCAAAUAAUAUUAAUCCAUAAACUAAGAACAAUUUUCCUACCCAAACCAAUGUAAUAUUGCAGUUUAGGUCAUUUGUGUCUGUCUGUGUGUGCAGAGGCCAGAAGUCAGCCUCACGUACUGUUCCGCAGCUGCCAUCCACCAGACAGUGUCUGUCACAGGGACCAGGGAUUUGACAGCUAGGCGAGGCUGGCUGGUCAGCUAGACCCAGGGACUCACCUAUCAUCUCCUCCCCAGAGAUGGGCUUACAGAUGCCAACCUCCUGUUCUCACCUGAUUUUCACAUGUGUACUGCUGGAGAUCAAACUCAGGUCCUCAAGCAUUUUAUGGACUGAACUAUCUCUGUAUCCACAGUUACUCAUCAUCGUCCUCACCACCACCAUCAUCAUUUAACAAUGGUAGUUCCGGGGCUGGAGAGAUGGCUCAGUGGUUAAGAGUGCUGUCUGCUCUUCCAAAGGACCUGGGUUCAAUUCCCAGCACCCACAUGGCAACUCACAACUGUUUGUAACUCCAGUUCUAAGGGAUUUGAAAUCCUCAUACCAAUGCACAUAAAAUAAAAAAUAAA